rnacentral:lncRNA from 1 species
GACAAACUGAGGUACGCAGGGACGAGGUGAUUUAUCAGGAGGUCGCACAAGGAAAAGGAGCUGGAUAUUGGGCGAUGCUAAGAUACGCUUUAAUUUGAAGGGUUUGGGGGUUUUUUCCCCCUCUUCCCUGACAGCGUCUUCUAAACCGUGUCUUCUCAACCAGAACGGUCUGAGAGUGCUUUACGUUUCUAAAAGCACGCCUUUGUCAAAAGGGUCAGGAGGCCAGCUCCUCAGUUAAGGACCGACCUGUUGAGACCUACCACGAAUCCUCCAGCAAGACGUGAGAAAGGCAGAUUUGACGUACUGAGUGUUUCCAAGGGAAAAAAAAGGAAAGAAAAGCUUCCGAAUUUUGUAAGGCAUCGUGCAAAAUCAGCAAAGGGCAGAGAUGCAGCAAAUGCCAGGAAUCUGUUUUUAUUUAGGGGAAAACCUGAGAGUGCUGUUUGGCAAGCUGUUAUUUUCUUACCAUUGAAAACGUCACAUGGCAAAUGCUAGCGCUCAAGCAGAAUCGCAGCUUGACAGCUCUGGCAGAAGAAAAAGGGGCAACAGCGUGAGCCUCCACCACAUCGCCUCAGAAGUGCUGUCAAACCCAGCUUGAUCUUUCUUGCAUGGGUGAGGCCCAAGGCUUGCUGUGUCUGAAAGCUUAGCUUCAUGGCCGGGGGUGUAAAUUCAUACCAGUUAUGCUGCUGUUCUUCAGUAGGUGAACAUUUGUCUACUCUAAGCUGGAGGGAAAAUGAAUGCAUUAAAAAUUGAUGUAAAACCUGAGUAACACCUUCAGGUCUCUUGUCAAGCCUGAAUCUAUCUUCUGCAGGCAGCUGAGCCCUGCCUCGCUUCUCUGUAUUUUAGGAAAAAAGGCAGUAGCAGAGAGAAAUGGUUCUGCAAUCAGGUCGCUGCCUUAAGAGGAUCAAGUGGACUUCAUGUUAGCUGUAAUUUCCUGAAUUUGAAUGGAUUUUCAGCAUGAAUAUUGACAAUCGCCUAUGCAUGUUAGCAUCCUGGAGCAUACUUUUCAAUGUAAUGCACUGAAAAGCAACGAGGAAGGACUAACCUCUGUGCGGAUACUAAUCCCAGAGGGCUAUUAUCUCCCUUAGAGUUAGUGGA